GGGAAAGCUGUGCUGCAGAUCCUAGAGCUCAGGAGAGACUGGUUUGGGAGGUGACAUUUGAAUGAAAAGGACAAGUGAAGAGGCCCCAGUGGAUUUUUGUGGCCCUCCCUGAGUGAAAAGCAGAGGCCACAACAUCUGAGACUCCACGUUGCAAACUCCUCUGUUUUAU